rnacentral:misc_RNA from 1 species
AAAAUAAUUUUGUUGCAAGUUGGGCAAAAUAAUCAGAACGUAUAUUUUGGUUUUUUAGGGGCUAAUGGGAAGACCGGCAAGUCAUAGCACAAUUGGUUUGAAUUGCAGCCUUCUCCCAUUUUCAAAAUGCCAUAAUUGAUGGCUGGUGACUAUCUAGAGUUGAUCUUUUCUUUUUAAUUUUCUUUUCAUUCUCGUUUUUCUUGUUUAGCUUUGGUUUGACAAUUUCCACAUUUCCUACCCUACAUUCCCGCAUUAAUUAAUUAUUCAACCUACUUUUUCACAUGGGUAGCUCUUUUCUCUGAAAUUUGAUGGGGGCUUGGUUGCAGUUUCUGAGAUCAGAUCCGAGCUAUAUUUUAGAAUUUCCCUAUACAAAGUCACAAUUCCUUUUUAUGUUAGGUCUUACCUGGAAUUUGUUCAUCAUCUGUACCCCGA